ensembl:misc_RNA Metazoa_SRP Metazoan signal recognition particle RNA
UUUUAUGCUAUGUGAAUUUCAUCUCAAUUAACAAACAUUUAAAAAAAAUAUAUCUGUGCUUGAGCCCAGAAGUUCUGAGCUGUAACACAUUAUGCCUAUAUAGUGUCCACACUAAAUUUGGCAUCAAUAUUGUGACCUCGAGAGCAGAGGACCACCUGGUUGCCUAAGGAGGGGUGAGUUGUCCUAGGUCAGAAACAGAGCAGGUCAAAACUCUCCUACUGAUCAGUAGUGGGACUGCGCUUGUGAAUAGCCAUUGCACUCCAGCCUGGGCAAUUUAGCAUGAC